rnacentral:tRNA from 1 species
GUCUUGUGGCAUAGUGGUCUGAGUGUUGGGCUAUGACUCCAGAGACCAGGGUUCGAUUCCCAGCUCAGCCA